rnacentral:rRNA from 1 species
AUUGAACGCUAGCGGGAUGCUUUACACAUGAAAGUCGAACGAGUGGCGGACGGGUGAGUAAUAUAUCGGAACGUGCCCAGUAGCGGGGGAUAACUACUCGAAAGAGUGGCUAAUACUGCAUACUAUUGGAGCGGCCGAAAUGGGAUUAGCUAGUUGGUGGGGUAAAGGCUCACCAAGGCAACGAUCCGUAGCUGGGUUGAGAGGACGACCAGCCACACUGGGACUGAGACACGGCCCAGACUUCCACGGGAGGCAGGCGUGGGGAAUUUUGGACAAUGGGGGAAACCCUUAUCCCACCCUCCCGCGUGUAUUAGAAGUCCUUCUGGUUGGAAAGUACUUUUGGCCGAGUAGCGGUAUCUGCAGAAUAAGCACCGGCUAACUACGUGCCAGCAGCCGCGGUAAUUC